rnacentral:rRNA from 1 species
AUUGAACGCUGGCGGCAGGCCUAACACAUGCAAGUCGAACGAGUGGCGGACGGGUGAGUAAUGUCUGGGAAACUGCCUGAUGGAGGGGGAUAACUACUGGAAAAGGUAGCUAAUACCGCAUACCAGCAGAUGUGCCCAGAUGGGAUUCGCUUGUUGGGUGGGUAACGGCGCACCAGGGCGACGCUCCCGAGCGGGUCUGAGAGGAUGACCAGCACAACUGCAACUGAGACACGGCCCGGACACCUACGUGAGGCAGCAGUGGGGAAUAUUGCGCAAGGGGCGCAAGCCUGAUGGAGCCACGCCGCGUGUAUGAAGAAGGCCUUCGGGUUGUAAAGUUCGUUCAGCGGGGAGGCGUUACCCGCAGGAGAAGCACCGGCUAACUCCGUGCCAGCAGCCGCGGUAAUUC